rnacentral:rRNA from 1 species
UUUUGACCUCGGAUCAGGUAGGGAUACCCGCUGAACUUAAGCAUAUCAAUAAGCGAAGGAAAAGAAACCAACAGGGAUUGCCCUAGUAAACGGCGAGUGAAGCGGCAACAGCUCAAAUUUGAAAUCUGGCUCUUUUAGAGUCCGAGUUGUAAUUUGCAGAGGGCGCUUUGGCUUUGGCAGCGGUCCAAGUUCCUUGGAACAGGACGUCACAGAGGGUGAGAAUCCCGUACGUGGUCGCUGGCUAUUGCCGUGUAAAGCCCCUUCGACGAGUCGAGUUGUUUGGGAAUGCAGCUCUAAAUGGGAGGUACAUUUCUUCUAAAGCUAAAUAUUGGCCAGAGACCGAUAGCGCACAAGUAGAGUGAUCGAAAGAUGAAAAGCACUUUGGAAAGAGAGUCAAACAGCACGUGAAAUUGUUGAAAGGGAAGCGCUUGCAGCCAGACUUGCUUGCAGUUGCUCAUCCGGGCUUUUGCCCGGUGCACUCUUCUGUAGGCAGGCCAGCAUCAGUUUGGGCGGUGGGAUAAAGGUCUCUGUCACGU